rnacentral:tRNA from 1 species
GCGGCGGCCAGGACGGCGUCCGUGCGGGUGACCGUCGCGGCGGGCGCGGUACGGGUGCCCGCACCGCCGGUUCCGCUGCCGCCGGCACCGCU